GACGAACGCUGGCGGCAUGCCUAACACAUGCAAGUCGAGCGCCCCGCAAGGGGAGCGGCAGACGGGUGAGUAACGCGUGGGAAUCUACCUUUUGCUACGGAAUAACGCAGGGAAACUUGUGCUAAUACCGUAUGUGCCCUUCGGGGGAAAGAUUUAUCGGCAAAGGAUGAGCCCGCGUUGGAUUAGCUAGUUGGUGGGGUAAAGGCCUACCAAGGCGACGAUCCAUAGCUGGUCUGAGAGGAUGAUCGGCCACAUUGGGACUGAGACACGGCCCAAACUCCUACGGGAGGCAGCAGUGGGGAAUAUUGGACAAUGGGCGCAAGCCUGAUCCAGCCAUGCCGCGUGAGUGAUGAAGGCCUUAGGGUUGUAAAGCUCUUUCACCGGUGAAGAUAAUGACGGUAACCGGAGAAGAAGCCCCGGCUAACUUCGUGCCAGCCGCCGCCGUAAGAC
rnacentral:rRNA from 1 species